rnacentral:rRNA from 1 species
UACGUAGGGGGCGAGCGUUGUCCGGAAUUAUUGGGCGUAAAGAGCUCGUAGGCGGUUCGGCAAGUCACGUGUGAAAUCUCCACGCUCAACGUGGAGGCGCCACGUGAGACUGCUGUGACUCGAGUCCGGUAGGGGAGCGUGGAAUUCCCGGUGUAGCGGUGAAAUGCGCAGAGAUCGGGAGGAACACCCGUAGCGAAGGCGGCGCUCUGGGCCGGUACUGACGCUGAGGCGCGAAAGCCAGGGGAGCGAACGGG